AGGGUAGGGAUAUCUGUGGUUAAAUUAGUAUGUCAUGGUUAAGGUUAGGAUUGAAGGGUAGGGAUAUCUGUGGUUAAAUUAGUAUGUCAUGGUUAAGGUUAGGAUUGAAGGGUAGGGAUAUCUGUGGUUAAAUUAGUAUGUCAUGGUUAAGGUUAGGAUUGAAGGGUAGGGAUAUCUGUGGUUAGGGACAACUUCUACCAUCAAGCAGUGGCAGAGAACCAAGAGGAAUCGAGAGGUUUAAAGUGGCAAUCUGCAGUUGCUUAAUAUAUUUUUGGAGUUAUAAUUGAAUUAUAUGUACCCAUUGAUUCUUGAAGAAUAUAACUUGGAAAUGCCUCAUGACCUUAGUUCAGCUGUCACAGUCCAUGAGAACCCAAAAUAUAAUCGUAUUUUAUUCCAAUGUUUGUAAACAACAAUAUAUAUAUUGCAUCCAUAGCUUUGUCUAUGGAUUUGAGUGGUUACAUUUCACCAGCCCCUCCCUUAUCUUUUUUUCUGCUGAUUUGAUGCUUUAAGGUGAAUUGGGGGAUGGACCAGUUUUCUUUCCGUCCUGGUCUGGGAAGGGGAUGGGCCAUUUUCUUUCCGUCCUGGUCUGGGAAGGGGAUGGACCAGUUUUCUUUCAGUCCUGGUCUGGGAAGGGGAUGGACCAGUUUUCUUUCCGUCCUGGUCUGGGAAGGGGAUGGACCAGUUUUCUUUCCGUCCUGGUCUGGGAAGGGGAUGGACCAGUUUUCUUUCAGUCCUGGUCUGGGAAGGGGAUGGACCAGUUUUCUUUCCGUCCUGGUCUGGGAAGGGGAUGGGACAGUUUUUUUUCAGUCCUGGUCUGGGAAGGGGAUGGACCAGUUUUCUUUCAGUCCUGGUCUGGGAAGGGGAUGGACCAGUUUUCUUUCAGUCCUGGUCUGGGAAGGGGAUGGGACAGUUUUUUUCAGUCCUGGUCUGGGAAGGGGAUGGGACAGUUUUUUUCAGUCCUGGUCUGGGAAGGGGAUGGGCCAGUUUUUUUCAGUCCUGGUCUGGGAAGGGGAUGGGACAGUUUUCUUUCGGUCCUGGUCUGGGAAGCUCAUUGCGUAUGCAGCAUUUCACUCCAGCUGGAGUAAAUAUUGUGAAAAUCCAACCUUGUUGUCGGGAAGGACUUGUCUGGAACUGGAUGUGCUCAUUGAGGUGAUGUCGUAGGACCACUCCAUUUCCACUGACCAGUUUCAUGUGGGUUUGAUAAACACCGGGUCUCAGACUAGGUUUGGGAAACCUUGGCUGGGCUUAUUUGUGUACCAAUGAUAUUUAUGCACUGAGCGUUCCAGCCUGCCCGAGCACAUGGGUGAUUUAAGUGCUUGCUUCAUGUGACUGGUAUAUUGUAUGUGAGUCAGGGUAUGAUGUAGGAAAAAUGAAUAAAUAUGAUAUAUUUCCUAAUGUAUCAUUCCUGUUUCCCUUUUUUGUCAACAGCUCACAGUAUGACAGUAAUUGGGAAUUGAACUUCCUCGUCUAUUUUCAUUAUGUGUUCAGUGGCAUGUCGUAUUCUCUUAUCUGCCUGUAAUGAAAAGGGGGAAAUAAAUAUAAGAAAUUGUUGAGACAA
ensembl:lncRNA